rnacentral:rRNA from 1 species
GACGAACGCUGGCGGUAUGCUUAACACAUGCAAGUCGAACGAGACAAAAGAGAAGUGCUUGCACGGAUCUUUUAGAAAGUGGCGAACGGGUGAGUAACGCGUGGGUAACCUGCCCUAUGGAAAGGAAUAGCCUCGGGAAACUGGGAGUAAUGCCUUAUAAGAUAUAUUUGUCGCAUGGCAGAUGUAUUAAACGCUCCGGUGCCAUAGGAUGGACCCGCGUCCCAUUAGCUAGUUGGUGAGAUAACAGCCCACCAAGGCGACGAUGGGUAACCGGUCUGAGAGGGCGAACGGUCACACUGGAACUGAGACACGGUCCAGACUCCUACGGGAGGCAG